UCCUCAUCUCCCUUGCUCAUCUUUCCUCUCUCUGAUAUACUCACCUGGCUACUCAACCUCAGACCUUAAGAAACUGGCAGCUUACACUCUUUCUCAAGAGGUGCUUGCUUUUGUAACCAAGCCCCCAUGUUGAGGGGAAGCCCAAGCUACCCAUAGAAAGGCCCAUGUGGAGAGAAACCACCAACGAGCGCCAUCCUACUUGCAAUAUGACUGAACCACAUGGGAAGUAGAGCUUCCUGCCUCAGCCCAGCUGUCCCAGUUGAUUCCAUGAGCAGCAGAGACAAGCCAUCCCUGCUGAACCCAAAUUGCAUUUUUGUGAGAAAAAUAAAUGACUGCCAUUAGUGU